UUUUUUAAUUGAAAACUGGAAUGAAAGGUAGAAACUAAAAAGAAAGUUUUAUUUUAUAAGUUUGAAUUUUAAUUAAAAGUAAAAAUGCUUUUAUAUAAUCUUGGGACGAGAAGACCCUAGAAGCUUAAAAUUUUUUAAUUUUUGAUUGGGGUAAUUAUUUUGAAGAAGUAGAUUUUUAAUUAAUGUUUUUAUGUAAGGUUUAUAGUUAAAAUAAGUUACUCUAGGGAUAACAGCGUAAUUUAAUUAACAAGUUCUUAUUAAAAAUUAAGUUUGCGACCUCGAUGUUGAAUUAAUGUUAUUUUUGGUGAAGAAGCUAAAACGUAAAGUCUGUUCGACUUUUAGUUUAUUACGUGAUCUGAGUUCAGACCGGA
rnacentral:rRNA from 1 species